rnacentral:rRNA from 1 species
AACGAACGCUGGCGGCAUGCCUAACACAUGCAAGUCGAACGAGACCUUCGGGUCUAGUGGCGCACGGGUGCGUAACGCGUGGGAACCUGCCCUUAGGUUCGGAAUACCUCCCCGACAGGGGUGCUAAUACCGGAUAAUGUCUGCGGACCAAAGAUUUAUCGCCUUUGGAUGGGCCCGCGUUGGAUUAGCUAGUUGGUAGGGUAAAAGCCUACCAAGGCGACGAUCCAUAGCUGGUCUGAGAGGAUGAUCAGCCACACUGGGACUGAGACACGGCCCAGACUCCUACGGGAGGCAGCAGUGGGGAAUAUUGGACAAUGGGCGAAAGCAUGAUCCAGCAAUGCCGCGUGAGUGAUGAAGGCCUUAGGGUUGUAAAGCUCUUUUACCCGGGAUUAUAAUGACAGUACCGGGAGAAUAAGCUCCGGCUAACUCCGUG